GGUGCUGGCCGGCUCGAGUUUGUUGCAUCACUGUUGUGUAGUGAAAUUCCGUUCGACUAUGGCAAAAUCUAUAAAUAUGGUGCCACGUAUUUAUAAUAUUUAAUGGCACAUAGUCACACGUAGUUUAGCAUGGGCUAGUUAAUAAUACGUUAGUAAUGUAGAAGAAAGGCGAUAUAUCUGUUUGUUUUAAAUGAUAAUUCAUGUUUGAAAACAAAAUUAAAUCAAUCUGCAUUAUGAGUGUCGUAGAAAAUGUACAGAAUAAAGAUAUAUUUUACAUAAUUUUACUGAAGGAUGGCUUGGUUACAGUACCGAAACAAUGGUUAACAGAUGACAAGAAAUACACAUUUUGGCCAUCUAAUGUGCAUACAGCACAAUGUAUCAAUUUGAUUAAAUCUUGUGCUGAAGUAAACGUACAAUGGGAAAAAUACGAGAUAGAAUUUAUAUGUGGAACAGCAGGUUUGUAUCUAUUCUUAAAUUAUGUAUACAUUCAUUAGACUUGCAAUAAUUUCAGUCGCUUGAUUUUAAUUAUUGAUUUAAAUUUAAAUUUUAAUCAUGC